rnacentral:rRNA from 1 species
GAUGAACGCUGGCGGCGUGCCUAAUACAUGCAAGUCGAGCGAACAGACGAGGAGCUUGCUCCUCUGACGUUAGCGGCGGACGGGUGAGUAACACGUGGAUAACCUACCUAUAAGACUGGGAUAACUUCGGGAAACCGGAGCUAAUACCGGAUAAUAUAUUGAACCGCAUGGUUCAAUAGUGAAAGACGGUUUUGCUGUCACUUAUAGAUGGAUCCGCGCCGCAUUAGCUAGUUGGUAAGGUAACGGCUUACCAAGGCAACGAUGCGUAGCCGACCUGAGAGGGUGAUCGGCCACACUGGAACGUGGACACGGUCCAGGCUCCUACGGGAGGCAGCAGUAGGGAAUCUUCCGCAAUGGGCGAAAGCCUGACGGAGCAACGCCGCGUGAGUGAUGAAGGUCUUCGGAUCGUAAAACUCUGUUAUUAGGGAAGAACAAAUGUGUAAGUAACUAUGCACGUCUUGACGGUACCUAAUCAGAAAGCCACGGCUAACUACGUG